CUUGAAGGAGGAUACCCAGCUCCCUGGACCUUGGCUUUGCCACCAGCUUCUGGAAGAGCUGGGACUAGAGACAGGUUCUGUGAGGCCUUCCUGACCUGGGCUUAGAAUUCACAAUGGAGUGGGGGAAACAAUGCCCUUGUCUGACCUCCUCAGGAACCACGCAUGGACGCGAUGCACAUACACACGUGCAGGCGAAACACUCACGGGCGUAAGGGUUACUUUCCCUCAAACCAGAGAACGCCAAGGGGCUCUGCCGGAGAAGAGCUCGCCUUGCAAGCCCGAAGAGCCAAGUUUUACGCCCAGCACACGCACCAAAAGGCCAGGCCUCACGGCGGCACACACUGUAACCAGCACUGGUGAGGCAGAGGUGGGCAGAUCCCCGGGGCUCACUGGCUAACCAGCUUGGUGUAAUCAGGGAGCCCAGGCCGGUCAGAGAGCCCGUCUCAAAGACCAAAGAACAAGCACCAGAGAAGCAGUGGCCAAAGUUGACCUCCGGCCCCCACGCACAAAGGCCGCGUGUAGUUACACCAACACGUGCACACACCAACACGUGAGCACACCAACACGUGCACACCGCCACGGACUUGUGUGCGUUGGGCUUGGGAGGGCACCAGAAACCACACGUCUGCCUCUUGCGACGCGAAACCGCGAAUCUCAAAUACUGAGGAUUUCCCUUUCCCAUGGUCAACUGAACAGUUCGUUCUCUGAGCAGAUGGAAGACGACGACAUGGCAGAGGCGCCGAGUCAUUGGAGCCCCCCCACUCUCCUGGUACGUGUGUAGGUGACAAACGAGAGCGCCUCAACAUUUUCGACACGUGGUAUUCUCUCCUUACCACAGCUAUCAGCUUCUAAGCUUUCAGUUACCCAAAGCCAACAAACGUUCACGGAAAAUUGCAGAAGUAAAUAAUUCACAAGUUUAA